UUUAUCUGAAUAAUCUUCUGCGGAGAUUCUACAGCCUUCGGCCUCCCAGCUUUUCAGAGUGUCCCUCUCCGCCCUCUCAGCUCCUGAUGGCUCAGUCAUGCGUGGAGGCCUUUGUUCCAGUCUGCAGCUGGGAGCACAGAGCAGCAGGAGGUCCUGAAAGUUUUGAGGUUGAUCUGGAGGCAACACCUCAAACUGGUGGCUGUUGCUGAAACCAUUCUGGAAGAGCAUCAUCGUGCUGGAAGAGGCCACCAACAUCAAGCAGUGCUUGAUGGAUCCCACCCUCUGAUGGUCACCGUGGUAACCAGAUGAGUGUCUUCCAGGUGGAUUUACCUGCAAGUCCGUCUUCAUGAGCGAAGCCCCCGCCUCCACCAGGAAGUGACAGAUGCUCCUCUGACAGAGGGUGGCGGCUUUAUGGAGCGCCGUCUCUCCUCUGAAACACAAACCGGGAAAAACAGAUUCACCUCUGGGAUGUUUGGGCUUCGUUUUGGACGGAAUAAAACCAAAACUUCAGAAACAUGACUCUGUUCAGCAUCUGUUACCAUGGUAAUCGUCCAGGAUGAGACUAAAAUCCCAACGUAUCUGUAAGAAACCUCUUGGUUCUGAUCUAAUACCACCCAGGACCUCAGACCUAAGGAUCAAUGCUUUUCUGCUUCACCCAGCCUCAUCUAUGGACGAGAUGUUUCCACUGGCUGGAUCUGUGCGUCUGUUUCAAGAAGUUAAAAACUGCUCCCGGGGA